AAAUACUUCAGAUCAUUACAAAUGGGGCCCAGUCAAGGUGAAAGUCAAAAGCAUUGGUGCUACUGUAGAUGCCAACAGACUACCAGCAAACACAAUGUUUGCAGGACUUCUACAACGAGGAUAAAGUGACAUAGUCCAGGACCCGAGGGAGGACAGUUUAGCGAUGGCGCUACAACACGCUACAGCAGGUCCGUGUGACAAGAAACACUUCUGUUACAGACACUUGUCUUACUUUGUUAAAGCAGUUUACCUGUCCAGCAGAAAGGUUACAGUGUCCGUAAGAACCUGAAGCGUCCCCCAUCGUUUAUGCUAGCUCUUGUCCGGUCUACCUCCUUUUUAAGUGCCGUUAUUCUGCCAGAGUCUCCGGUAUUUACUUUGUUUUCUUGCUUGUGUCGGCAGUCGUGGUCAAAGGAGGAUUCAGACAAUUUUCCGAACUUUCUGGUUGGUUUCUACUGUCCGAUAUUGUAGCACGCUAACUUUGUUUGGGCUCGCGAACGUUAAUCGAGGAUGUGGAGCAUACUUCACGCAAAAUUUUUAGGACCGUAGGGGAAAGUCCCGCCUCCUUCGCCUCUGAUUGUCUAGAAAAGCUGGAAAUGUCAUCACACACUCAAGCCAAAUGUGAGCUCUGUACAUUGAUCAGAAAGUUACAGAACAUUAUCGCACUUCUAAAUCUCCUGAACCUAACCCUAACCUGACAGACGAUGAGGUUUCACAGCAGAAAGGAAUAACCAAUCGGAGCCCAGCACAUCUAGCCAAUCAGAGGCAAAAGAGGGCGGGACCUUCCCCUACCAUCCUACAAAAAAAUGUUUGCGUGCCUCACAACACAAGGAAGCAGCGUCUGCCUCUCAACCAAUCAGGUCGGGGAGGUUGAGAACAGCUUUGUUUACAGUCAAAAUGAGCGGGCAGCUCAAAAAUGUUAACAUGUUGACUACACAGGCAAAAGAGAACACAGUGAUAUCAUGAUAUUCCCAAAUGUCAUCAAUCACUAAUAGCUAUUGACUGAUAUUAAAAGCUUUUUUGUAAAUACACCACAAAAAAAGAUGCUUCUUUAACGGAUUCCUGUCUACCCCACCUUUAACUGUAGAGAAGAUAAAUAAGUGUUUGUUUCAGCUCUGCAUUGAGCUGCUAAAACAGAAGUAGACAGUCUUCCUCAUGGAGACAGCUCUCGUUCUCCAGACAACAGAUCACCACCUGUUCAAAGUCUUCCUUUCACUUCCAAACCGAGCCGAGUCUAGCAGGUUGAAAACGCCACAGCAGCACUUUCCCAGCGUUGGACGGGUGCUGCAGCUGAAAGCCAGCGAAGGCUUGGAGGAUCAAUGGUGUCUUUGAUCUAUUGUCUUGGUUCUGGAGAAAGAGAUGCAGAAGAAAGGAUCUGCUUUGAAAGUUGGACCCUCGAAGCCUGUGAGAUGUCUUCGGAGAAUUUUAAUGCCGUGUUUCCUCUUGAUGAAACUGAAUGAAAUCACUUUGGCUCAUGCAGACACAUAAAUUAGAUUUUUAUUCUAAUGUUCUCGGGGAAUGAAGAUACACAUUUCCACCCAAAAUCAUCCCGGUGCUCUUCGGCGCACUAAUGGCUGGCAGGAAGACGCUUAAAAUGAAAUUCAAGAAUUAAAAAGCUUUUUGGUUUAAAACAAAUUUCACACAAGUUUGACAGCGAGGCGAAACAUUAUGAAGCAUUACUCAGAAGACAGAUUCACUGAUGUGAUCAUCUUUGUUUUGACUGCAAGAAAAAUGCCUGAUAUCUAUUCCUUCAAACCCCUCAAAAAUCCACUUUGACUUUUGGCCGCAUUUUCACACAGAUGGGUAAUUAUCCUAUUAAAAUGUAAGUAUUAAAACUGGACCCAUGGUGCAGUUAUUUUACUUUGACCUUGGAUUAUUUAAUUCUAUAGAAGAUGUGAUAUUUUUCAUCUACAUCCACAGUGUUUUUGUGGAUAGCUACAGCUGUCAGAAAUCACUGCUAAUGCUGAAUCACCAGCAGGUGGGGUCAAGUGUCUCGCUCUGGAAUCGAACCCCUGACCCCUUCCCCGGUAGAGGACUGACUCUACCAACUGAGCCACUGACGCCCUGGUACUAUGUGUCAGUAGGUAAAGACUUGGCUCUAAAAACCAUACUAAGAACCACCAGGAUACUGAAAAAGCUGAUUCUUGACAAAGUCCCAUAUUUCAAAAUGUGACAUCAUGUGUAAUCGAGUAAUUCAUUUCUACAGUUACCAUGACAACCACAGUCCCCCAUCGUUUGAGGUCCCAAUGCUGAGUGACGAUUGUCACAUUUUGGACUGUCAACAGAUGUCAGCAGAAUUUUGUCCAGUUUAUGACUCAGUUUGGUGCAUUUAUUCAUGACCCCUAGAAGAUGAAUCUGGGUGGUCCUAGACUUCCUGCAGACCAGAUUUCAUGUUCAUGUUUCCUUGACAACAGACAAAGAAUCCAAAUGAUAUUUUACCAUGAGGAUCAAACUGAUCAUUCUAGAGGAAAUUCUCCAAGUCAUGUUUUCUUGAGUUUUUUUUUGUGGUACCUCUGAUUACCGUAAUUCCUCAGAUAGUCAUCAAAUGUUAGACAUAGCAGUCCUGACCCACCCAGCAAAAGGUGGUUGAAAAGACCUUAAAAAGACGUCAGUUUUCAACGUCUUUUUUUGGGCUAAAUUACGUCCAUGACGGGCCGAUGUGAUUUAGCCCGAAAAAAAGACGUCUAAGUGACAUUGGGCGUUUGGUGGGUAGUGUUGUGGCAGUAAUAUUCAGUGUGUUACCAUGUUAAAUUUAGACUCUACACAUGAUUUAAACACUCCUGACAAGUGUAGGCUCUUGUUCAUUCACUCACAUGUACACACCGUGCUGUUCCACCCUGUUGGCGCCCCCUUUCCCACCCUCUGUUGCCACCUCAGAGAGACGAUCAGAAGAAGAACAGCUUUAUUCCACCACUCCGCCUUUGUGCAUCACACUCUGCAGACGAGGCGGGUAAAUAUCCAUGAAAGAACCGCCUGUAAGCGCCUUCAGCCCUGUUCGUCCUGUGCUUUUAAUGGUUUCAAAUGCAGCUCUUGAAUAACUCAUAUAUCUUUGUAAACCAGCCACAUACUCAGUCUCUAAGUCAUUCUGACACUCGUCGUCUUGUCCAGGUUUACCCUUGCAGCCUGCGGUUGAGCUGAUGCUGUUUCUGCUUCAUGCUUUUUGGCUACAGCGGUUUGUUUUCAAGCUGCUGUCAGCCAGCAGCUACUCGGUAUGGGUGAAGGGACUGAAUCCUCUUUGUGUGAAUCAUUCCCGCUUGCAGGUGAGUGUUUGGUCAGCUGUUUACCAUCCAUGGGGUGUUGAGUUAGAUCAGAUAGGGAAGGCUGCCAGACGGGUUCUGUUAAAAAAUUUUGGUGGAGGACCAGGUCUGAAACUAUUUCAGCUCUGAGAUAAAUACGUUCACAGCUGAGUGGAGGGACGGAUAAACACUCGAACAUGCCGACAAUUUAGAUAGUAAUGUACAAAUAAAUAUAUGGAUAUCCUCAUCUUGUCUCAUCUCAAGCUUCUAUUGAUUAUCUCACAAAUCCUGAGACUGAUGAAGAGGAUUUCUCAUUGGCUUCAUGAGCCCCACAACCCCACCCUGAGGACCCACUGCCCAAGGCUGCUUGUUUACAGCCUGAUGGGUGUGCUACUGCUGCUGGUUCAAGACAUUUAUAGCCUUGUAUUAAGCAGGUGCUCAAACACAGAGUCCGGAAAUCCCAGAGCGAAUGAGCUUGUUUUCAUUUCACAGGAGGAAAUGUGAUCUAGUCACCAAGGAAACUGAACCCUCAGAUGCAUGCCGGUUAACAAAAUUAAACUCAAGAGGUUAAAGGCCCAUGAGUGAGAGGAAAUUUUCAAUUUUGAGUCGGCGGUAUGUGAGGAACACUGACUAUUCCUGUCACAGACUUCAGACAUCUCUCAGAACUGAUGAAGCCAUGAACCAAACAUUCAUGUUCUCCUCAGCUAAACGUCCGUUUCACCCGGCUGCAACUUUCACAGUUGCAUUUGUGUUAAAGUGAGUGAAUCAAAUGUGCUUGGAAUAGAUCCAGGCUCUCGCUGAAGCGCUACAAGGACAAUUUAAAAGGGUCUUGCACCUAAACACAUACUAAACAAUGCAAAUCAGUUCAAGGUGCUCCCACCCCUGAGCUCUCGUCCCUCCCUACCUGAUACAUCCCGGCUGACCUCAGCAUGAAAUCAUCCAGGCAGAAUGAUAGGAUGUUUGGCCGAGGAGCAGUAGCGUGAGAUUUGCUUCUGUACAGAUAAACACAGCCUUGACUGUUGUCUCCGCCAUCGGGAACAUUUUUCUAUUUCAAUUUCAAAGUGUGCAAGGCGGAAAAUAAUCACAGAGGGGAGCCAGCAGGUUCAACAACCCCCCUAAUUGCCUUGGAUAUCUUAGUUGUAAGUCGAAAAAGAUAUGGAAAAAGAUUUUUGUUUUGAUUCGACGCUGUCAUCAAAAACGCUUUCAAAUUACACCUUUAAUGGUUUGUUCAAUGGAUCAGUCAAAACAACUCAGAGGGAAGGAGCUGAUGGAGAAACUAAAGCUGCUCUCAUGCACUGAACUUGUGAAAAUUUCUUGAUUUCUUUCCAGAUUGACGAUCUCAGUGAACACUUUGUUCAGACUUUUGACUGCCAAAUAAACAAGAAAAUCAGAAAACAACUGAAGACACACCAUUCUCACUUUAUUAUCCUCUACAUUCCUUAUUUCCAAAACUUAAUUUGUACUUUUUGAGCGCAUUCAAACUUUACAUCUCAAAGUUGUGUUUAUAUCCACCGAAUGCACCAAAAGUCUUGUAGAACCACAUGCCCAACUUCUUCGCUGUAAUCUCUGUUUUUCACUCUCUCUGUGAAGCUGACUUGGAUCCCCCGAGUCCCCGACUUCUCUGAUGGGCAGAACUUUGGUUCAAGCUAUUUGAACUCCCAGUCGAGCCUCAGGAGGACGCUACAGAGGCAGCGAAGGCAGUGGAGAGUGACACAAACGGUAGCAUAACACUGAUCCGUGCAGUAAACAACCAGAUUACUUGUAGUCGACUCAGUAAAUCUCCUGACAAAUGACAAAUGCAUGUAACCGAACAUAAAGUUGGCACAUGCAUAAAUCUGCGAUAUUGAUAUUUUCAGCUAAAGUAUAUUUGAGUGGGACCUGUUCCUUUGAGGUUAAGUUUAAAGACCAGCAGGACUUUAUCUGUAAAUAACUGCUUUUGCAAUAAGAGGAUCCAGGAUCGAGAAAAACAUACUCGUACAAGACAUAUCCACCGCAGGUCAUCCAGGGAUGAAAAGUACAAACACCCUGAAGUUUGAAGAUUUUAUCAGCCAUAUCAAACAGGAAUGAGACCUUAAAGGUGGAUCCAUAAAACACUGUGAUUAUCACAUACCUCAUCUAUGCUGGAUCACUUCUGAAGGACACGACAGAGAGGAGAAGGUUACUGACUUACUGAGUUUACAGAGGACGGUGAUGAGACUUAUGGAAAAGAAAAAGAGAAAAAAAAGAAAGAAAAAAGAAAGGAGGAAAAACACACGGGAAGCAAAAGAGCAGAAAAGGAAAUGGAUAAAAAUCUGAGGAAAAGCGGCAGAAAGAAAAUGCUGGGAAAAAGGGGAAGAAAUGAACAAAUGAUGAAAUGAUGAAUGAAAAAGGGAUAAUCGAUGAAUGGAUGAGCAGAUAGAUAUGUAAAGAUGGAUAAGGAACAAAUCAAUGAAAGAAGACGGAUGAUAGGUAGGUAGAUGGGUGGAUGCAAGUUUAUAGAAUAGAUGAAUGGAUGAAAAAUACAUGGAAUGAUGGAUGAAUGAUUGACGGAUGGAUGGAUGGACAGUGGAUGAAUGGGUAGAUGAUUGACGAAUGGAUGAUUAACUGGAUGGAUGGACAAUGACUAAGAAAAUGACGGGAACGGAUGGAUGGAUGAAUGGAUGGAUGGAUGGAUGGACAGAUGGAUGGAUGGACAGAUGGAUGGAUGGAUGGAUGGAUAAUAAUUGUAUGGAUGAAUGACAAUCCGAUGGAUGGAUGGAUGGAUGGAUGGAUGACAAUAAGAUGGAUCAAUGGAUGGAUGAAGACUGGAUGGAUGGAUGGACAAUGGAAAGAUAGACAAUGGAAAGGGAUGGAUGGAUGGAUGGAUGUCAAUGGCCUAUAGAUGGAUGAAAGAAUGGAUGGAUGGGGAUGGAUGAAUGAUUAGAUUGAUAAAUGUUGAUGGCUGAUGGAUGGAUGGAGACAAUGGAAAGAUAGACAAUGGAAAGGGAUGGAUAGAUGGAUGGAUGUCAAUGGCCCAUGGAUGAAUAAAUGAAUGAAUGGAUGGAUGGGGAUGGAUGGAUGAGCAGACAAACAGAAGGAUGGAGUUGUUGUUUUUAUGUUAAAGUGUUGAGUAAAAAUCUACUUCAGGUAUUUCUAUGAUCUUUAAACUGGGCCUAAAAUAAAAUUCAUCCUGUUGAACAUGAAUCUCUCCACGUCUCUUCAAAAGCUCAUUUUCCCCUCACUCUACCUUCCUUUUACUCGCUAUGCGGUGUCUCACCACAGACUGCUCCAGGACGAAAAUGAAGCGGAUGAUUUUUAGGUUAUUUUUGUUGCUAACGGUUGUUUGAUUCGGGAGCUUGAACUCAGUGGAUCCCUAUUGAAUCUUUUACAGGGAGAAUUUCUUAAGACUGCAGGAUUAGUAUGUUCAAGCAGCAAUCCAGAAGGCCACCCUCAGCAGUCAGUGCUCUUUGUUUCUCUAAUAAUCACUUGAGGCCUUCCUCUGCCCACCAACACUCGGUAAUCUCCAUCCAUAAUAACACAGCUGCCUCAGAGAUGUGGCAGGAGGCAGGAGCCCCUGAAUUUAAGCGCCUUUGGUGAGAAGGAGGCAAAGCUGCUCUUCCAAAACAGGCAACAAGGAACAUACGGCUAUCCAGCCCUCCUAGGGUUUAAUGUCUUAUUAUUUCCUGCACACAGCACCAAAAUGAACAGUUUUUGUCAGCGGGGACACUUCGGUGUUGGUGCCACUUCCUUUUAGCAUACAGAGAGAAGGAGGCAGCACACUGACAGAUCGGGGGAAGCCUUUUUUUUUCUUAUAAGCUGUUCAUUUGCUCGGCAUCUUAUAUCUGGAGAUUAUUUCGGAGGAUGCUGGUGAGGAAUCUGUCAUGUACUCAGUAUGAAUUAAAUUAGGCUGAGGAUUGGGACUCGCAAACAUAAAGCUAAAUAUAGCGUUAUCCAAUUAUUUCUUUCAGCUGCUGUCACUGUCCUGAGGUGUGUCAUCGCAUCUGUGCCUCUGCUCCCGCUUUAACACCCUGACUUAUUGAAUGUUUUAUUGUUUCAUACACAUAGAUGGAUCGGGGCCGUUUUCCCAUUAUAACCGGAUGAAUCAUUGAAUUCCUGCAGGUCAGAUUCACAGCGUGUAAUUUUAACACCUCUGGGAGAAAUAAAUAACUCUGUGUAUUAAUACCUCACAAUUUUCUCAUUAAUGCCAGAGUUUGGCCUCCUGAUAAAAACAUGUUAAAUUUUUAAUAAUAAACUCUAAUUUCACCUGAGGAUGAGGCAAACACACAUGCUGCACUGAACUUCUGCGACUCUCUCUUUAGAAGAAGUUACAAGAGGAAAGUUUUUCUGUUUUUUAAGAUUUAUUUCGGGGCUUUUCGGACUUUAUUCGACAGGACAGCGGGCAGAGCAGAAAUCGGGGGGAGGAGGAAAUGAUGAGCAACAUGCAGGAAACGAGCCACAGGCUGGAACCGAACCCGGGCCGCCUGCGUAUAUGUGGGGCACGCUUGAAUCAUUGAAUAAUUGAAUCAGUGAAUCAUUAGGCCGCCAAGCCUAGAAGUUUAUAUAAAGUUGAGUAAGCAAGCUCUAUUUAACCUCACUUAACUUUACUGAAACAUACCUAAACAGACAGAGGCAAUCGAUCCCAGGCUAUUUGAUUGAAACCUCGAUCAGAAUCAGAGUACAACAGUUUAUAUUCAGCAAUAAAAAUGUGCCUUAAAUGACCUAACUUUGUAUUUUAAAUAUCUGAGUUAGAGAUGAAGCCCUGACUCUCCAGCCUUUCUAAAAUAACCGAGCUCGUAUUACUCCCAUUUAACUGAACAUUUCCACUGAUGCUGAAGCAAAACACACAAGAUUGACUUUUCUGCCCCAUUACUGCCAGACUCUGUGACAUUUUCGUCUUUAUUUAUCAGUCCAUAAACGCCGCUGUUUCUCACAUUGUGUUCCCCUAAGUAUUUCCUUCAUGCACCGUCUUCAAUUUGGUAGAUUGCUCUCUAAUACCCCCACAGUUUUUGUCUUUAACCUCUCCUGCCCUUCGUUCGCCGUUUCUCCCGAUGUCAAAUCAACAGGACCUCUUUUGGUGGAUCAAUAUGAUUGCAGUUAGUCCUCCAGGAGUCGGUGAUUAGGAAUGUUCCCAUGGCAACAAGAGAGUUUACAGGCUGCUGUAUUGACCAAUCAGAAUUAUGUAUUUAACACAGCUGUGUAAUGACAAGUUUUAAAUACUGGUAAUCCCCAUUAGGCUUGAUGAUAGAAGCCCAUGAUGAUAAUAAGGUUGUUGUAUCUGCUAAAACCUCGACUCCACUACAUCUUGAGACUCCAUCCAUGUUUUAUUCCGCCAAUGGUCUCUACAGUUUUGAUGGUCCCAAACAUAGUCGUGAUAAAUGGGGAUAUAAUGGCUUUCAGUUCACCGUUGGGAUGGGGAUGAGACCAUCGUCCCAUGUUUGUCCGUCAUCAUUUACACUCUGCUUUCUAACUCAGCAAAAAGAGUGGAAAACAAAGGCAAGAACAGAGAGGAGAUAAUGACUCGGCAGUUUAAAAGAAACACAAAGAGAGGAAAGUGAUCGACAACCAUCUGUAUAAACUGUCCUCCUAAAAGAUGUAUAUCCAUGUUUUCCUGUGGGAAUCUAUGUGAUUUCUCCUGCACCUGCAAAACUCCUCCCUUUCAUGAUAUUUCAGUCCAUGAUCGACCUAUAAAAUGCGUUAUAAACAUCUAGGGUGACCAUAUUCUGACUAUUCCGAUACGACUGUGUGGGGGCGGAGUCACAGAGUCGCACAAAGUUAAUUUUGAGAGUUUUUUGGGUUGAGUGUCUUUUACACGCUUCUAACUUAGUCCACGUGACACAAAAUCAAAACUUACGUACAAAACAGUGGAUGUUUGAAGGAUUUUAUAAACUUCCCCUGACAAAGCCGGACAGCCCCAAAAAAGAGGACAUGUCCGGGUCAAAGAGGAUGUAUGGUCACCUUAUAAACAUCCAGUUUGACAGUAAAAUUUAGAAGUUAUCAGACGACAUCGGCCUCGCCAGGAAUAUUUUUUGGUGCUUUCUCAGUUUGGACAUCAUAAACAAACGAAAGUGGAAAUAAUAUGUGAAUAAAGUAUUUACAGCUUCUGUGGUUGGAUUCAGAGUGUAAAUUCCCCUUUAGCAAAACCCUGUUUAGGGGGCGCUCACACCAAGCAUGAGUAAAAUCAUCAACUCGCUUAAUUCGCACGAAUCUAGACGCAUGAAUGAAUAGUAGUUACUCGCUUCAUUCGCGCGUCAAUGUAAUUUCAACGGUAAUCCCUGCUAAUUCAACUGGCGGGAUCAAAUGAUGGACAAAGGUUUUUUACAAUUUGCCAGACAAUCCGACCUCCUCACUUCAUACGUCACCGGGCAACCUUCGUGCUGAUUGGUUAUCACGAAUAUCCGCUCAAGUUGCGACAUGAGGCUCCCGCCCAAUUCACGUCACUCACAGAGAAGUACGAGCGUCUUAUCGCGUCUUUGCAUUGACUUAACAUGUAAUUCAUUCGGGCGAAUGAUUUUACUCACGCUUGAAGUGCAUCUCAUUUGAGCUCCUCACUUGAGGUUUUAAUAGCCUUAGAUUCUUACAAACAUGUCAACCUUUUGAUUUUAUCCACAAUUUUAACGGAGUCCAUGCAUUUUUACACUAAUAAACUUGUGUUUUGUUGUUCGUCUCCAAAGAUCUCCUCCUCAGACAGCUCUAUCUUUUCAUUUUCACUCUAAAGAGCUCUGUUUUGCCUUGCCCACUGAAAGAGCAUGACAUCUUUUAGGACGGCUGACUGACUGAUUAAAGUGGACUUGAAGUGGACAAAAUAAUUACAUAAGGCGACAUGACUAAUGCGCACUCCAACGCUCUCGUACUUAAAAGUUCCACAUGGUGGCAGGGAUAAUGAAAAUCACUUUUUGCUCAUGAGAGAGUAGUUAACAUCCUCUUGUGUUUUUGUUUGACUGUGUCACUCGGCGCUCCGGAGCCGUGGGCCAUCUCGCACUCAUGCAUAGAUUGUGUGACAGCGUGAUUAAUCGUGCCGUUUGGUGGAGGAAGCUAAGCUAGCAGAUGGAUAUGUGAGGAUCUCUCAGCAGUGGUGGGAAGAAGUAACUGUUUAUUUCAUGUGUGAAAAGAGAGACUGGUAUCAUGAUGAAUGAAACCGCAGAAACAUUUUCGCUGAUGUCUUAGAAAAACUCUGUCCAGGAAACUCCAAACAAUAUAUUUUUCAGCAGGAUAAAUGACUUUGAUAGCCUCAGUAAUGGCAGCAUAAACUACCUCUGUCACAUCCAAUUUGAAAGACAGAGCGGAGGAUGUCGAGGAAGUUUACUGCAGACGCACAAAGAGUAAGAGGAUUUUGCACAUUCACUCCAUAUUUCUCUGAAUGUGCACUCAGCAGUGCAGAUGUGCUAACAGAGGUGAUAUCUACAAGUCGCGUCCCACUCAUCAGAAGCACAUGAUUGGAUCAGACUGCAGAUUAUCAUGUGGGCCGGGAACACCAGGCAAGCGGCUAACCAUGCCUUCAGAAAUUAUUCAUCACAAGCAACCAAAUCUAAAGUGUUUUUUCUUCCCGUGAGUGCAUCAGCGACAUAAAAAACAUCCUUACAUAUAAGCUUAUAUGCAACUGCAAGCACAGCACACCACUACUGAUGACUGGCUGCAGAAAAUGUGCACUUUUGUGGAUUCCUCAAAGACGUACGACGCAAUUUCUUGUAAACAAACUCAUAAUGGAGUCCAAUUUGAUCACCUGCACGUCUAUUUCAUCACUUAGACAUGACAGGUUUUAUAAUUACGCCCCGCAAUUAUGCUUUCUGCUGCAAUUCGCUGAGCAGGAUCGCUUAAGAGGGAGAAAGAUGGCAUCCGAUAACAAUCAGGACUCACAGAUGACUGGCCAUGAAUGUGAUGUUAUACUUUUCCAAUUUGGUUGUUAUCUCUCCAGGGCAUGUAAUCAUCGGCUCGAUGAAAAGACAGAAACGCUUUAAGAACACGGCGUCAAUGUGUAAUUUUAUAGCCAACCAUGUAUUACAUAUGAGUCACGGCCACUGACAACCAAAUGUUUGACAGGGGAUUUUCCACCUCUGUAAGCCACAUACACACACAGACCGAUGCCUGACUGAAAGAUGCUCUUUAUGAACACGGUUGACAGCACAUAAACAGUGUAGCUUGGCUUCUGAAAACGUGGAACAACAAAUAAAACAAGGCUCAUGUGGAUCACCUUGGAGCGCAGGGGAGCCCAUUACCCUGCUCCACCAAGUCUCCGUCAGCUCAUGAUAAACAUUGCAGCACCUGCAAGACUUUAAAUCAUCCGCACAAGCUCUGUAGUGUUAGAGAAAUGUGAAACAGUGGAUUGAGUUGUACCUGCAAGUUACUGCAGAGGGGGUUAGGAAGCGGAGUUCAAACUGCUCUGACCCAAAUCCAUGACAGCUUUCUUACUCUGUAGUACAGAGUGCUGUGUAGAAGUGCUGUUUGUAGGGCAGGGAUGAAAUGAAUUAAAGGCUUAGGUUGUAAUGCAAGGUGAAUCUGUCAUAUAACACUUUCAAAUCUAUAAUAUUUAAUCAGGAAUACAGACCUUAUUAUCCAUUUCAUACAUGCUUUCAUGCUAUUUACAUUUUAACCCAGGUAGAGCACCCAGUGUGCACUUAGUUCAUAUUGUAUCCACUGUAAGAGCAUCCAGAUUAUUUACCUUUAAACACAGAAAAAGUGCCAAGAGUGUGCUUUGUUUACUUUCUAUCCACUAGAAAACAUGUUUACAUACUCACCACUGAAGGAACACUCAACAAGUGCUUGUUUACAUUCUACUCUCUAAAAGAACAAUUGAAAGGAUGCUUUAUUUACAUUUUAACCCAGGCAGAGCAGCCAGUGUUCACUCUGUUUGUAUUAUAUUUACUUUAAGAGCAUCCAGAGGGGGUUUGUUUACAUUCUACCUACUAGAAAAAAUAACAGGGGGCUGGUUUGUUUACAUUGAAACCACUGAAAAAACACUCAGAGUGCUUUGUUUACAUUAAAUCUACUAGCGUAGCAUCCAAAGGGCACUCUGUUUACAUUCUGUCUACUGGAAGUGAAUCUUGUGGUGCUUUGUUUACAUUCUAUCCACUAAAAACACUUAAAGGGUGCAUGCUUAAAUUUGAUUCACUAGAAUAGCAUCCAAAGGGCACUCUAUUUACAUUCCAUCCACUGUAAUGGCAUCCAAAGGGCACUUCAUUUUCAGUCUAUCCACUGGAAAAGCAUCCAAAUAGCACUUUGUUUACAUUCUGUUCCCUGGAAAUGCAUCUUGUGGUGCUUUGUUUACAUUCUAUCCACUAUACAAAGACAUUGGCGUGCUUUGUUUACAUUUAAACCACUAAAACCUCUCAAAGGGUUUUUUUUUGCUUACAUUUGAUGUCCCAGUAUAGCAUCUAAAGGGCACUCUGUUUACAUUCCGUCCACUGGAAAUGCAUCUUGUGGUGCUUUGUUUACAGUCCAUCCCUCAGAAGUACAUCAACAGAAUGAUUCGGUCUUGUUCUAUCCACUCAAGGAGCAUUGGGGGUCAGCUUUGUUUACAUUUGACUCACUGGGAAAACAUCCAAAGGCCUUUUAAUCCAGUCUGUCCACUGGAAGAGCACGUAGAGGGCGCUCUGUUUGUUAAAUCUAUGUAAGGGGCCAGUCUAUUGAUAUCUGUUAUUCCACAUGGGAAUCUAAAUUGGAUGAACUUAUGUAAGAUUGGCCCGACUGAGAAAAGUACUAAAUAAACAAGGCAAAUAUGAAGUUCUGCAGAUAGUCUUACACUGCAGAUGGACUAAUGAUGCUGUGCAAGUCGAUUACUGACAUGCAUAUCAAAAUGCAUCGAAAAAAAAUUUUUUUAAGAGUUUUCUCUUAGUGCAACAUAGUUGAUUUGAAUGAAGAUGAGUUUGUUCAGUAUUUUAUGAACCUUUGAUGUCCAGUGUGUUUUUUUUCUCUCCCCUCUGCUGCACCCAGAUCUAUGAAAAUACACUCAUUCAACAGCCCUGUGGUACCUUAUUAUCAAGCCCUUCAGAGCUGUCACCCUGCAGAGAGGCACCGCUGUGCAACACUAAAUGUGGAAUUUAAUUAACCAAAGCACAUCUUGACCUUUGAUAUCAUAGAACAACAUAACAGGGUGGUUAUUAUCAUGCCUUAUGUAAGCCUGCUCGGGUAUAACUCCAUGUUGCACUCCAUGUAGUCCAGAAUUUUUUAAUUUAAUGUUUUUGGAUUUCAAACUUGUGCACUUUGACAGUUUCCCUCCAUCAGCAGCUCUCCAUGUUUACCGCUCGUCUGGCUCUUUUUGCUUCCUCUGUUUUAUCCCCCCUUUCUUUCUCCAAAGCUGCACCUCCGUCUCUAUUGAUCAAACUUCUUUAUCAGUGGUUUCUUUGGCUUUCCGUCUCCGGGGAGAUGUAUCGACAUUAAAAGCUGCAGUCUGCAUGAGUAUCAAUAAUUUACACAGCGUCUCUGCCGUUCCCCAAAUAUACAACAGAGCACAAGAACAACAAAUGUUCACAAAGCGCCGGCGUCAGCGUCAGGAUGUGCGGUCAGUUUCUCAUAUUACAAAUGAAAGGAUAUUGUGAGCUUAACAUGUGUCCUGUCAUACGCUGUAGAGCGAGGAAAGAUAUGGAAAUGAGCUGAUUGAUUGAGUGACCUUUGAACCGUGCACUUUAAAGUGAGCUUCAUGCACCGCUCAAUCAAACUCUGAUUAUUCCACCUAAAUAAUUCACAUUGAUCAGUUCAUUUCUGUUUGUUUCGAGGCUGUAAUUGGUCCAAAUUAAGUUUAGUUUUCUCUAAAUCUAAAAGUCAUUUAGAAGUGUGACAACUAAAAAGCGAAUCAGCACCUAAACUAACUUCUGCUGACUUGUUGCUUUAAAAAAAUCCUUCACAAAGGUCCUUUUUCAUUCCAGUUGGGGUUAUAAAGAGCGCCAGUAUCUGUCAAGGCUGAUGAAGAUGCUUCUUUGCAGAUGGAGAGCAGUCCUCCUCAAACAUCCCUUUUGGUAUUUCUUUUAAAGCUCUGCAGGAUGCAUGCUUUUUAUUUAUUUGUCCGUCUGUCUGUUUCCUGCAUCAUGUCAGUUUUAUUAACUGUCAGAUUUGAUGGGAUAAGACUCUGUUUACAGAGGUUUGGACUUCUUUAUUCUGCCUCUGUCUCCACAUUCUCCCUCUGAGGUGCAGCAGCUCCUCUCGGCUGCUCAGGUAAACAGUGAGCAGCCCUGCCUCCAGCACUUUAACGUGUGCAUGUCCACGAAAAGCAAAAUGACACAGACAGAAAUUACCACCUUUUCACCGUGUACAAAGCAACUGACUGCUGCUCUAAGACAAAGUAAGGCAAGGGAGGGUCUCAAUCUGUCUGCUCGAUGUUGCUAAAUAUUCCAGUCACUACCAAGCGGAGGUGCAGAAGCUCUGAACACUGUUGUUCCUCAUGUGUCCACUAGAGGCUAGGUGGAAAAGCCUCAGAAGCCAGAUCCCUGCCCAUUCAAAAAGCUUAUCUUUCAUUUUAAAAGAGAACAAAAACAUGAUUUGCUCAUUUUUCUAUCCAAACACACUCCAGUUUCAAAGAUAUUGAGGACACGACUUCCAGGAGGACUAACAUACUGAUUUUCACCUUUCAUCAUGAUUUGCACGCUCAAAUCUUACACCUGGUGUGCUUUUCCAAUGUUAUAAAGUUGAACACAGCUUAUGGAUGUUACUUUUUACACAGCUUUGUGGUCAUGAAACAACCUAAAAGUUACGCCUUCAAAGAAAACAUCUGAGUCCAGCCGAUAAUGAAUGAUUCUAGCGGUGAACAGGUGAGUUUUCAGCCUUGGAAGCCGAGGCAGAUCUGCAGUUUUAUAGAGAUUUCUCAAAUGGUUUCUGCUGAAUCCUUUUCCCAGAAAACCUGAGCCUCUCUGAUAUAAAAUAUAGUCCAACAAAUAUAUUCUGGGACCAUAUUUUGGACCUUAACAACUCAGCGCGUUAUAAAACAGCAGUAGUAUUUGAAAAGCUAAUUUCUUGCAGACUGGGCGCCAACAGAAGGACUGGGAAUGAUAUGAAAGCAUGUUGGGAUACUUGGCAACUUGGAAGUGAGCUGGUGUGUGUGCCGCUUUUUCUUACCGCUUUUCUCCCUCCAAAUUAUCCAUCCGGAGACAACAGUGAUGUACUGUUGGGCGAAUCCGCUCUGUGUAGACAAGACUCAGUUCCACACAGCGAGUGACAACCCCAUCAGGGCAGCAAAUUGGACUGGCAGAGACGGACGUGUUGGAGUAGGUUCUCUCUGGUAAUAGACAGAGGCCCUCUGACUGACCUGUUCCCUGUACUCUGUUUUUAUUUCCUUUGAGGUUGAAGUCUUGAAGGGGGGGUUGCCCUUUCUGCGUUAUUUUUCUCUGAAGGGCCAAACCGCCAGACUCUUGUGCAGUUAAUUGAAUAAAAUAAGAGUUUUCGCUCUGUUAUUGAAAGUUAUAUACAUCUAACUGUGCAAAAUCUAGUGCAGGAACCCUAGUCCUUGCUCGCAUCGUUCCAAUUAAAUUCAGAUAUAAUGCAGAUAAAUACUUCAGAUCAUUACAAAUGGGGCCCAGUCAAGGUGAAAGUCAAAAGCAUUGGUGCUACUGUAGAUGCCAACAGACUACCAGCAAACACAAUGUUUGCAGGACUUCUACAACUAGGAUAAAGUGACAUAGUCCAGGACCCGAGGGAGGACAGUUUAGCGAUGGCGCUACAACACGCUACAGCAGGUCCGUUUGACAAGAAACACUUCUGUUACAGACACUUGUCUUACUUUGUUAAAGCGGUUUACCUGUCCAGCAGAAAGGUUACAGGGUCACCAAGAUCCCCAAGCGUCC